ACGGCUCAGUAACACGUGGAUAACCUGCCCUCAGGUCUGGCAUAACCCCGGGAAACUGGGGAUAAUUCCGGAUAACGCAUAUAUGCUGGAAUGCUUUAUGCGUCAAAGGUCCUCCGCCUGAGGAUGGGUCUGCGGCCUAUCAGGUAGUAGCGGGUGUAAUGUACCUGCUAGCCGACGACGGGUACGGGUUGUGAGAGCAAGAGCCCGGAGAUGGAUUCUGAGACAUGAAUCCAGGCCCUACGGGGCGCAGCAGGCGCGAAAACUUUACAAUGCGGGAAACCGUGAUAAGGGGACACCGAGUGCCAGCAACAUUUGCUGGCUGUCCAGGUGUGUAAACUACACCUGUUAGCAAGGGCCGGGCAAGACCGGUGCCAGCCGCCGCGGUAACACCGGCGGCCCGAGUGGUGAUCGUUAUUAUUGGGUCUAAAGGGUCCGUAGCCGGUUUAGUCAGUCCUCCGGGAAAUCUGUCAGCUCAACUGAUAGGCUAUCGGGGGAUACUGCUAGACUUGGAACCGGGAGAGGUAAGAGGUACUACAGGGGUAGGAGUGAAAUCUUGUAAUCCCUGUGGGACCACCUGUGGCGAAGGCGUCUUACCAGAACGGGUUCGACGGUGAGGGACGAAAGCUGGGGGCACGAACCGGAUUAGAUACCCGGGUAGUCCCAGCCGUAAACGAUGCUCGCUAGGUGUCAUGCAUGGUGCGGCCGUGUAUGGUGCCGUAGGGAAGCCGUGAAGCGAGCCACCUGGGAAGUACGGCCGCAAGGCUGAAACUUAAAGGAAUUGGCGGGGGAGCAC
rnacentral:rRNA from 1 species